CUCGAGGACGAGCACGCCGUAGCUGUAGAUAUCGGCCUUCUCUGUCAGUUGCCCGUGGACGAUGUACUCCGGAGCCAUGUAUCCACUGUGCAGGAAAAAUGGAGUAUGAGUGCCAUUUCUUCAGACAGAUUUUCACAAUUUGGUAGGAAAGACCCUCCGCCGUCCCGAGGAUGAUCUCGAACCUCCGCUCCCAAUCCAGUGCGUUCUUCUUGAACGCGUCUGCAUGGCCAUCGAGCACGGAAGGUCAGAGAUGCAUACACCCACACGUUUUCAGGAGCAGAGAAAAUUCAGGGUGCAGAGAAGAUUAUUCAGGAUACCAAACAGGUAGUGGUCGAGGCUGGUGUUGCAGAGGUACUCGUAGACGAGGAGGCUCUCGGGGCCCUCGACGCUGCAGCCGAGCAGCUUCACCAGGUUCUUGUGCUGCACCUGGCUGACGAGCCGCACCUCGUUGAAGAACUGGUCCGCCCACUGCCGCGUGUUGAAGAAGAGCCGCUUCACGGCCACCUCCCGGCCGUCCGGCAGCACACCCUACGCCGCCAUGCAGAAAGGUGUCGGUGUAGGAUCAUGUACCUUGUAAACCGACCCGUAGCCGCCCUGGCCGAGCUUGUUGAUCUGGUUGAACUCGUCGGUCGCCCGGCGCAGCUCCUGGUACUUGAAGCUGAGGUGCGACGCGGCGAUGGCGCGGAUGAUCUCGCCGGAGCCGUCCAUGUCUGUGCAGUGUGGCCAACGGCAUGGCGCAGUGUCAGCUAUCAUGGGAAUGUGGCAUCAGGUGCCAAUGGCAUGAUGCAGUUUACAUACCGUCAUGGAGAUGGUCUCUUCUCGACCGCAUUUUCGUCCAGACGAACGCUAUGCCAAUGACGGCCACUGCCGAGAAGACUGAAGCGAUGACGAUGAUAACUGUGUGCCGCGCUGCCAUGAAAAACCCAGGAAUUUUUUUUUUGUCAGGCUCAGAAUCUUUGGAGGGAGCAAUGUGAUGUUCUUAUCUACGGAAUUUGCAGUUUAACCCUGUGGAUCUUUUCUA